rnacentral:lncRNA from 1 species
AGGAGGAUCCAAAACAGGAGGGGAAACAGCAGGACUGAGUGGAGUAGGAGAAGGCACCUGGAUAGGAGUGUUAGAAGAGGGAGGAGAAAGUGGAAUGAGAGAAUCAGAGAUAUCAUCAUGUUCUCCAGAGAGAAGAGAAGGAAAAGAAGAAGCAGAGAGAGGAGCAGAGGGAGAGGCAUGUUUAAAAGGAAAAACUGAUUCAUGAAAUAGAACAUCCCUGG